rnacentral:rRNA from 11 species
AGGGAGAGAAGCGGUGGAGGGUUCUGGAACCCAAGGACCUGCAUGCUUGGCAAGAGAGAGUGUUCGAAGCGAAGGAGAUGUCCAGUCGCAGACUUGUUGAUGAAGCGAAGCAGCAGGGGCAUGGUUGGAUUGAGAUCUUGCAGAGACCC